rnacentral:rRNA from 2 species
GCGACCCCAGGUCAGGCGGGACUACCCGCUGAGUUUAAGCAUAUCAAA